GCAAAGGGCAAGGCCCACAGGCUUUGUGAGCGGCAGGCAAGACCCGGUGUGGAGAGUGCUCACCAUGUCGGAGUUAGCCCAGAAGCCACGAGACAAUGACCAGAGGUCCUGGUACCCUGGGGCCUGGCACACAGCCCUGCUGCCUCCCGUGCCCCUGAGACUUGGAGCGUCCUGGCCCUAGGAAAGUGCCCGUCCUCCGAGAGUUCCCCGUGCCAAGGUUGGGUCUGCUGAGUGAGUUUCUGCCCCUGGGGGCUGAGGUCCACCGCACUCUCCCAGGUGGGGCCACUUGCUGAGCAGCCUGUCCGGUCCCCCUGCAUCGCUGCCCCUCACUGCUCCUCUGCGCUGGCCAUGGCUCCCUGCGGCUCCGGCUCCCGUGCUGGUCAGUGCUGCUGCCCGAGUCCCUCCCCGGUCUCUGCUCCAGCAAGGCCGCCCUGCCUGGGCCCCUCUCUGCCGGCCCCACUCUCCCCUCGGCUUCGAGCUGCAGUGAGGACGGCUGACCUCGUCUCCCGCGCUCAGGGGUCGCAGCCGGGUCCCCUGGGGUCAGUGUCUGCACACAGCCCCGUCACAGGUCCUGAGCCGCUUUCCCUCCUCCCAUGGUGGGGCGAUCGCCCGCACCUGUCACUCCCCGCCCCCGGGCAGACGUCACGCCAGGCCCCGUCCCCCAGGCCAGCACCGAGGUCCCUCCCUGGCCUCUCCCGCCGGCCCUUCACGCCUCAUCUCCCCGCCAUCUUCAGUCCUCUGCUCAAGUGCGGCCUUGGUGAGGCCGACCCGCACCGAGCCAUCCACAGCACAAACAUCCCCUUGUCCCCGCGGCCACGGCCGACCUGUUCCAUUUGCUUUUCCCCUUAGCUCUGUGACCUUUAAUGAAAAUGAUAUGUAAUUAUAUGAAUCAGCGAUCCAUCAGGAGAGAGCCGCACAAUGCCCUGAACAGGAAGAGUUUGUCUGAUGAACAAUGAACAAUGCAAGUGCAAGGAGAACCGUAAGGGGUGGUUCAGGGUCGCGGCAGAGCUCACGAGGAAGACGUAACUGGGGGGAGACAAGACGGCGGGAUGCAUCUUUCCCGGAGAUUCGUCCGGGUGGCUGCGUGGGUGAAAGUUACUCCCCGUUUGUUGCCCGGCGGCUCCGUGGUAGAAUGGACCGCUGCGCCUAGCCAUGCACCUGCCGGAGGGCCCCUGCCCUCCUAGUGCGGCGCUACUGAAACAGCCGGGGCUCUACAGGCUGGGCUGCCGCCUACCAUAGGAAGAAUGAAACCGGGGACAGAAAGCGGGCGGCAGGGGAGGUGUCAGUGGAACUCCAAGGAGAGAGAACGCUCCUGGCGGCGGAGGGGUCCCAGAAAGUGGGUGCUGCUUUCUGUUCGCUCGGAAUCUCUUAUGGACCAGCAGAGUGUGGGCUCUGCCCAGGGUCCAGGGGUCACCCGGGGCUUUAAAAUGACCAAGUGGGACUCAGGCUCUCUAAACCAGUCUCCCAGCACGGGGAGUUGAAAAGAAAGCCAGUCAUGUUGCGUCAUUAAUUCCUCACACCUGAGCCCUGGAUGCAGCGAGGGGCUGCACCCGUUCCUCUGAGGGUCCCUGUCCGGGUCUGAGCCCCGCUGCCUUCUUAUUUUACCUCCUGCCGUGGGGCUGAGCACCCAGCUCCCUCUCAGGCCCUGGCUCCUGCUAGCCGCCUCAUCACACGUGCGAUGAUAACUAAACCGCCUCUCACACGCUUGCAGGUAAAGCUGCUCUAAACGGUUUUGUGUGGUUUUCGCACGAACACGCAUUUUCACCUUUGGAGAUAAAUGUGCCAGAGUGCAGUGCUGAGCUGCGUGGCCGUUGCUCGCUCAGUGUUUUCAAUCCCUGCACGCCCUGUUGGGGGCGCACAUCGCCUCAUUCCCGUCACACACGCGCACAGCACCCGGCUCCGUGGUCCCCCAGGCCCGGCUAGCCGCUGUGGUGUUAUUUCAGCCACCUGGGGAGGUGUUUGGUGACACCUCCCUGGGGUUUUCAUGUGCAUUUCACUAAUGAGAACCGCUGCCGCUGUCUUUUCAUGCCCUGUUCCCAUCUGCGGGAUUUUCCUCUUUGCUGAAAUGACCCUUUUGUCUUGGCUCAUUUUCUAAUUUUUUUUUUAAACCAGGGAUUGAAUUUAGGACUUGAGAGGCAGGCACAUUGCCACUGAGCUAAAUUUCUAAUUCUUUUUUGCCUGUCAAGUUUUGAUAGUUCUUCAUGCAGUGCAAAAGCUAGUCUUCUGUCAGGUAUUUGGCUCUUAUUUACUUUUCUCGUUGCUGAGACAAAAUACCUGACACACAAAGUUAAAGGAGUGAAGUUUUGCUGUAGUUCACAAAAUACUUGACACCCAAGGUUAGAGGAAGAAAUGUCUAUUGUAGCUCUUUAUAUAUUGUGGGGGUU